GGGCCCAUAGCUCAACCGGUCAGAGCGGGGGACUCAUAAUCCCUAGGUUCCAGGUUCGAGUCCUGGUGGGCCCA
rnacentral:tRNA from 1 species